GAGCCGCCGCUUGGGUCACAGUGAAAGGCAGCGUUGCCCGGGGAUGGGUCCCUGACACUUGGCGAAGGAGGUGCCCUGUGUGGUCGUGCGUCUGAGUCUGGGCUGAGACCAGUCCUGGCCAGGGCAGGUACCAGGACGGUCUCCGGAGGACGGGAUUCGCGGAGGGUCCACCAGCAGGAAGAAACCCCAGGAGGAAGAAACCUCAGAAAGAUCGCCGGCGAGGGAGCGCGGGAUCCCAGCCUCAGGCGUGCGCGGACGGUGUGCGGGUGAGUCUCCCCAAAAGUGGAGCCCUUGUGAUGACGAGCACAGGUCCGCCUGUGUGCCCGUGGGCUGCUCUCUCCCUGGUGGCUCGUAGUCGAGUAAAGCAGAAGCAGCAGUUUCAGGGGCUGACACUAAGAACAAUGCAUACUGGCAAAGUGAGGUGUCUCACAUCUUUAAUCCCAGCAGUUUGGGAGGCUGAGGCGGAUGGAUCACUUGAGGUCAGGGGAUCGCACCAGCCUAACCAACAUGAUGAAACUCCGUGUCUACUAAAAAAAAGUACAAGACAGUUAGCUCGGUGUGUUGGCAUAUGCCUGUAAAUCCCAGCUAUUUGGGAGGCAGAGGCAGGAGAAUCGGUUGAACCCGUGUGGCAGAGGUUGCGGUGAGUGAAGAUUGCGCCACUACACUCUAGCCUGGGUAACAAGCACAAAACUCUGUCUCAAAAAAAAGAAAAAAAAAAAUAACAGUGCAGAGUUAGGCCAGAUUUAUUUUCAGAGUAGGAGGGAAUUUCGAAUUUUGGGUGAAAUGUCCCAGUUGCCAGAAGGUGAAAGUGUUCUCUGAUGUAAAAUUUAGGUCACACUCUAUAAAGCUUCUCCUCGUUCUAUGUGUGAACAGCUAGUCUGUAUCUUCACCUAUGCAUAUUUAAAAAUCAACCUUAAGAAGGCUCUUGGCCACCAUAAUCCUUCCUACACUGUAGCAAGAACCCAGCCUCACACUAUGCUUCCUUCUGCCUCCGACUGCAAUGCCUUCCCCCGAAUCUCCAAGGUACCAAACCGGUCAGGGGCAGCUGAGACAGCUCUACUUCUAGGAGUCCUCCCCAAGCCCUUGAAAUCACAGGCAUCUCUGCUGUCCCUGCCCUUCAUCCACAUCACUGAACAAUUAAGCACACACAUCUGUGUAGUUUUAUUUAAACUGUUCCAUGUGUGUUUACAAUUAACAACAUGAAUGGCUGCGGUAUGGAUGCAGCAGAAAGGAAUGCUGAGGGAGGACUCCAGUUAGAAUGAGCCAGUUUUCCAGGACUAGGAAUGAACUUUCCCCAGUACCAACAAGGCAGCCUCCAGGGCAAGAAAUGGUAACAGAAUCAAUCCAUCCUGUUGACAGUCAAGAUGGAAUUACAGAGAAUUCUCACCUCUUUUUUGACUCUCAGGUGGAAACCCCCUUCCCAUGGGGUGAAGCGCAGUCUGCUCCAGAGCCCCACUGUUGGGGUCGGGGAUGUCACAGAAAUUAACAGGGCAGCCAAUUCCCAUCCAGAGGGGGCCCAGGAUGACCCCGAACCCUCUAGCUCAGCCCCAAGCUCGGACCAGGGAGUGAAGCCCUUGUCCCCAAGCAACAGAGUGAGGGUCUGUCUCUAACCCGGUGGGCUCCAGUGAAAGGAAAAUGGCCUGGAGGUGCCCACAGGAGGGCGCCCUAGUUCUGAGACAGGUCUACGGCUCCCAGACUGCGUCCCCAUGAGUAACACAGGGACACGCAGAGGGGCAUACUGAGUGCCUAUAGGGGACUCACGGACUGCAGAUGCACGCUGCGGAUCCAGAAGCCGGUCAGGUAAUGAGGUGCAGAGGUGUGGGGAAGACCUGGGUGCCAACCAGCGUAACCAGCCAGGGCCACCAAACAGAAGUGCUUCUGACAUUAAUGCGACACACAGAAGGUGUGUAGGGUGGGUAGUGGAAGUGACCGCAGAGGCCUCUGGGGAUUGUAGUUUUGGAGCUAGAGAGGCGGGCAAGCAGUUGGCUUCGCCCACACGGUGUGCCUCUCACAUCUGCACAGCGCACACAACCAAGCUUAGGAGCCGACUGUUAAGAUGCCCAAGUGACACGGACAAGUUUCUCCUCUGCAACCCAAUGAGAUCUGCUGACCACGAGAGCAUCGCGGGGCCGCCAAAGGAUUCUGGAAAAUGUGGUCCCGGGUGGCCAGUGUGCGCUGACCUUCACCUGAAGGUACGGCUUGAAGGAAACUUCUGGAGGGUGGGGUGGUGUUGAAGAGAAGGCACAGUUGUAACCAUUUUGUUCAACAUGGGCGUUUUCUUUGUGCAUUGAUUUGCAUU
rnacentral:lncRNA from 1 species